UGCGAGGAUUUAAUUUGUUUAAUGACUCGAGGCCCCGGGGGGUCCGUGGUGUCAGCAUUCAUCUCCGGCUCUCCAGAGGAUUUUCUCUCCACCCAGAACCGGAGGGAUUUGGUGAAAUCCUCACCAAGACAAGAUUUAGGAAAUCUCCCCCAAACUCCCGGGGCUCUCUGACCUCCAGCAGUGCUGGAUUCGGGGAAAGGAGCUGCAGAUCCUCCUGGAUUUUUGUCCAUGCACCAGCAGAGAUGAGCUGGGAUAAAAUCCGGCCCGGAAAAGGAAAAGAAAAAGCAAAAUAUCGUGUGAGAUGUGAUUUGUGUUUGAAAUCCAACGUCGCUCCUGCCCCUGAGCUGAAACAUUAGAGUGGGAGAAACUGGGAAAGGGGAACAAAAACAGUUGGGAAUGCUGGUGGUUUGUCCUGCAGGGAGCUGGACACAGCGGGAAUUUCACACUGUCCAGGCACGGCAGGUCCUGCUCGGUCACCUUCUCCGAGGGACAAACAUUCCCGAUUGAAUAUUCCUGCGGAGCCGGGAGCGGGGCAGAGCCGGGGUCCGUUAAAGGACUGGAAGGCACUGGGAGCACUGGGAGCUCUCCCCACACAGGAACAGGGACGAGUGGAGGAGGGAAGGAUUCCCGUGGGGAUGUCUCGGAGGUGUCAGGAAUUCCCUGUUCUGUGUCCCUCCCACCUCAGAGAGUUUUUGGGGACAGGCUGGGUCCUUUUCCGUGGAGCUGCCCUGCAGAUGAUGUCUGACAGCUCUGUGGGCUCGUGGCUCUGAAGGAAACACCACUGCAAAAAGGAGUAAAUUUCGGAAUUCAAUGACAAAAAUAGAAAUUUGCCUUGGGAAUCCCAGACGUGCAAUCCCACGGGAGCCUCUGCUGGGGUCGGGUCAGUGACACCUCCCCUGCCCCAGGCUGCUCCAAGCUGCCCUUGGACCUUCCCGGGAUGCCGGGCAGGAUAAUUCCAUCCCUUGGAGCCUUUUCCCAGCUCGUUCCUCGCCCCGUUCCGCCUCUUGCCGAACAGGUUUGAGUUUCCAGCCGUGGCUGUGAACACGCAGCUCAGCCCCUCCUGCACAGCACUAAAAUGUGGCUUUUCCCCCUUUUUAAUUUCCCCUAAACGAUGACCUUUUCCCUCCUUCAGCAGGCAGCCAAGACAAGCACAACAAUGUGAUUUGUGCAGCGUUUCAGCUGCGGUUUCUUCAAGAAAUUCAUCUGCUCUCGAAGCAAUUAGGGGCAGGGAAGCAUUUCCACUCCGGCUUCAGGCCCUGAACAGCUGCCAGGAGCGAUUUUUUUCUUUCCCCUCCGCUCUCCCUCUUGCUCCCUCCUCGCCCGAGAAAAUCCUGUGGUUUCUCCUCAGCAGCAGUUCUGGGGCUGUGGGUGGUGAAAUCCCAGCCUGGAUCCGCGUCCCUGUCCCUGCUGGGUUCGUGCAGGAUCAUCCCCCGAGCGGCCACAGCUCCUGGAGGGGACACGGGGACAGUGCCACCCCCUCCGGGACCCUCCCAAAGCACGUGGGGUUCAGAGGGCACCUCCAUCCCAGAACGAGCCUUAAACGGGCCCCGAAGCCAACAGCACGGUUAAUUGCUCCUUCAUUCCCCGGAUGGGUUAAUGAUUAAGUUAAAUUAAUAAUUGGGAGAAUAAUUAAACGAAACAAUAAGCGUUGGAAGCGAUUGAAGCGCUCGCCGUUCGCGCCGCGGUUUUGGGGUUACUCAUUGACUUUGGGGCGUCGGGCUGGCUGUGCCCGGGAUGCUGCUCCCGGAAUCCCGUGGAAAUCCAGGAAAUCCAGGGAAAAGCAGCGGCUCUGCCCUGCCCUGGAGAGCGGCGGGGUCCCGGUGAGCAGCGUGUGAUAAUUGAUUAAUGAUUCGUGUUAAUCACAGAAGUUUUGGAGUUUGUAUAAACCAGAAUGCUUAAAAUAAGAAAAUAACACGGACCUAGAUAAAGGGAAAUAGAUGAUUAAACCCGCUCUAUGUAAAUCCCCCUGUUA